rnacentral:lncRNA from 1 species
AACAUGGAAAUCAUUUUCUAAUUAAAUACUUAAUUGUUUUUUUCCAAAUCUUAAAAAGAAAAUUGGUGCGUGGGAAGAUGUGCAAUGUGUGUGUUUUGGAAACUUUAAGAGCUGCCCCUACCCCAAAGCGGGCACAGUAAUGUCAGAAAGUCCACUAGGGGAAAUCCUUCCAUGCUCAGGCAUUUUGCUACAAGGGUUAAAACCCUUCUGUUGCUUCCGACUUAGCUCAGAAGAGGUGUGCUGACUGGCCUUUAGAAUACCAGUAGAUAUGCACCAAGUCUGCCCAGAAGGCUCAGAAGGCUAAAUGAAUAUUAUCCCUGAUACCUGCCACCCCCCUAUUAAUCAGUGGUGGAAGAACUAUCUCAGAACUGUUUGUUUCAAUUGGCCAUUUCAGUUUAGUAGUAAAAGACUGGUUAAUGAUAACAACGCAUUGUAAAACUUUCAGAAGGAAAGGAGAAUGUUUUGUGGACCACUUUGGUUUUCUUUUUUGCAUGUGGCAGUUUUAAGUUAUUAGUUUUUAGGAUCAGUACUUUUUAAUGGAAAAAACUUGACCAAAAAUUUGUCACAGAAUUUUGAGACCCAUUAAAAAAGUUUAAUGAGAAAAAAAGAAAAAAGAAUAUCAGCAGACACAGAUCUGUGGA